GUGAGGAAUAUUGCGCAAUGGGCGAAAGCCUGACGCAGCGACGCCGCGUGGAGGAUGAAGGUCUUCGGAUUGUAAACUUCUGUUAAGUGGGAAGAAAGGGCUGCUUUUAAUAGAAGCAGUUAAUGACGGUACCAUUAAAGAAAGCACCGGCUAAACUCGUGCCAGCAGCCGCGGUAAUACGAGUGGUGCAAGCGUUAUUCGGAAUAAUUGGGCGUACAGGGUGUGUAGGCGGUAUGUUAAGUCUGUUGUUAAAGACUCCGGCCUAACCGGAGACAGGCAGCGGAAACUGGCGUACUAGAGGGUGGAAGAGAGAAGUGGAAUUCUCGGUGUAGCGGUAAAAUGCGUAGAUAUCGAGAGGAACACCGAUGGCGAAGGCAGCUUCUUGGUCCAUACCUGACGCUGAAACACGAAAGCGUGGGGAGCAAACAGGAUUAGAAACCCUAGUAGUCC
rnacentral:rRNA from 1 species